AAGUCGUAACAAGGUUUCCGUAGGUGAACCUGCGGAAGGAUCAUUAGUGCGAUAGCGCGCUGCACCUGUGCAGCGAUGCUAGCCAUCCUUGUGUUGUGUCUUGACGUUGCCCUCUCGGGGGCAGCCUUUUUAACCCGUAUCUCCUGUCUUAUCUACCGCUCGCAAGAGCACAACAACCGAAAACUGCCAGCAAUGGAUCACUCGGUUCUC
rnacentral:misc_RNA from 1 species